rnacentral:lncRNA from 1 species
ACACGGGAGGCGGCUUCCAAGGCGCCUGGGCCUGCUUUCUGAGCCCGGGACUACUAGGGACUGCGCUGCGCCCACUUACUUUUUCCUUCUCCACGAACCCCACAAAGGCCGUCCUCUCAAUCUCCACGGGCUGGCCCUGUCUGUCGUAGAGGGCCAGGACGAAGUGGAAGAAGUUGGAUUUCCGCAGGUUAGAAGGCGGCUGCUUCUCAAAGUGAGCCCGGGCCAGACCCACCCCGCUGCGACCAAAGACGCAGAGUUAGAUGGCUAAGCCAGACUGUGUCCCGCAUCCCCCUGUCACCCAGGACACGCGAGCGAACCCCCCCAACACCCACCUUCUCUGCUCCCAAAACAUCCCCUGGGCUCCUUCCAUGACCCAUCAGGAGCUCAAGAGCGGCUGACGAACCGGACAAAUGCCACUCAUGUCCCUGUCCUCCCCUUCCAGAGACAGCGGGUCAUCAGAACUCAGAGGUGUGGAAGUUUUGUUUGGGUUUUGGGUGUGAGAUGAAACGCUACAAUCUUUACUCCACUUGAAACGCGCUGCGUGGAGAGGAAACGUGACCGUGGGUGAAAUGAGACGGGGUUAAAGAGAAAGUGCGCAAUUUACUACUUCGAAGGCCAGGGCGUGGGAAUAGGCUCCGACUACGCCUCCAAAUCUCGCAAGUAAGUGGGCAGGUGGAAAUGCAUGAAGGCAUGCUAGGUUGUUCGCUGCCUCAGCCACCCUCCAGGAAACUCCCUAGCCUCGGCCAGCUGAUGGUACCCGACCUCAGCACGCUAAUUUUCUACACAAACGGCAAGCAAGCGGAGAAGGGUCCCUGAUUGGGACUCGCGGCUAUUAGAAAUGAUCGAUCGCCAUGGGAAAGAGAACUGGGGCGUCUUGUUUUACUGUUGUAAGUGACUGUUGUUGUUUGGUUAAUUUUUUUUUUAAAUAAAAGACCUGUCUUGC